rnacentral:rRNA from 1 species
AUUGAACGCUGGCGGCAGGCCUAACACAUGCAAGUCGAACGAGUGGCGGACGGGUGAGUAAUGUCUGGGAAACUGCCUGAUGGAGGGGGAUAACUACUGGAAACGGUAGCUAAUACCGCAUACCAUCAGAUGUGCCCAGAUGGGAUUAGCUAGUUGGUGGGGUAACGGCUCACCAAGGCGACGAUCCCUAGCUGGUCUGAGAGGAUGACCAGCCACACUGGAACUGGGACACGGGCCAGACUCCUACGGGAGGCAGCCGUGGGGGAUAUUGCACAAUGGGGCCAAGCCUGAUGCAGCCAAUCCGCGUUGAAUAAGGAGGCCUUCGGGUUGUAAAGUACUUUCAGCGGGGAGGCGUUACCCGCAGAAGAAGCACCGGCUAACUCCGUGCCAGCAGCCGCGGUAAUUC